GGGGGAUUUUGUUUGUAUUGAGAGGGGAGACCCCCUCGCCUCCUUUCAUUUCACCUCCUCCCUCCCCACCUUCCAGAUGGGAAGGAGGGUGAAGAAGG